GACCCGUUUGUUGUGAAUGACCCAAUUAGAGCCUUAGGGUAAGGUCAAUAUGAGCGGUGUUCGGGGUCUUCCUUGCACGGCGUGGCUCUAGUCGAAGUCGAUGCGCAUUCUGGUGGCCGUUUAAUGCUUGCUGAGUUCGAUACGUUUUGCCUCACUUCUUUUGCCUCUUGCGGCGGUGGUGUGGGGUGGUGGUGGUGGUGGUGGUUGUUGAAGGAAUCAAAUGGUGUGUUGUCUGCCAUUUGUUAUAUUUCAUCGAUCCAUUUCAUUACGUUCACCCCCCUCUGUUUCCAUCGCAUUAAGAACCACUCAAUGAAGAUCAGCGCUCACAAUUGGGUCUGCAUAGGCAGGGGACUGCACCUGGUCUGGUUCCUUAAAUAAACUGCUGAUUUACCCCCAGAUUUUGAAGGAAACAAUGAGCGGAUUGGAUUGGGUGGUUUGCAAAGAUGGGGCCGCAAAAGAGUUGACUGAACAGCACGUGUUUUUGAUAUAUUAUGAACUAGAGAUUUGCCUUGAGAGUGGUUUGUACAUAUUAACUUGAUACAAGUUUUUUUUUAUCAAUAAACUUUGUUUUGUGUAAUUUUGACCACGGGUGUGAACCAUGUUGGGUCGGCGGAUCGAGUUGUUCAACCUGAACACGACCCUUAUAUUUAUUCGUGUGAAAAACAUUAACCUUGUCUUGGUCACACUUUAAAAACAUUAACAAUUUAUUCGUAUGAAAAACAUUAACCACGGGUGUAACCUGAACGACCUGGUUUGUCUAUAUGUGUCAAAUAGGUUGGAAGGUAGUUAUAAACUUUGUGGGUUUAAAAAUAGGGUUAAAUGGGUUGGUGGCUUUACAUGUAUAACUAAACGGCUUAAAAAGGUCAACUCGAACACAACCUGUUUGAUUAAACAGGCCAACCCAAGCAUGAAUCGUUUAGUAAAUGGGCUAGAUAUUCAUGUCGAGUUUCGGUUAAGUUCUAACUGUCGUCACCCCCAAUUUUGACAUUUUGGCUUUGAAUGGUAUCAACUCCGCUUUUCAAAUUUGCUUUAAUCAUCAGUUUACAUUAUCAACGAUUUGAGUUUCAUAUACUGUAUACUUUCUGAAUGGUUUAUGGUAGUGACAUAUGUACUAUUCUAUGUAUUUAAUAAAGUUGGUGAAUUUAUGUGAAAUUUCACUUUCAUCGGUAUGGUUAGAGUUUGUGGGUAUGGCAUUUGUUUUACUUAGUUUUCAGUAUAUGCGCUCUGAGGCAAAUGGCUCGGUCACAUAACGGGUCAAAAUACAAGUUUAUAUACGGGUAUUAAUUGUUGCUGAGUUGAAUGGGUUGAACAUGUAAUGCAUUUAACGCACUCAGCCACAACGCAUGGGUAAUCAUACUAGAGUUGCCAAUUCUGAUUCGUUUACUUAUAAUGUGAGGUUUGGGUGUAUCAGUAGGUGGGUGGCCAACAUUUUACCAGUGAUGGACUUUGUAUACUUAUGAAUGGUUAAUUGUCAGGUGGCUUAAGCCGUAGCUCUUGUGAACCAAAAUAUGAUAUGGAGUUCCACACAGAAGAUUCACCAUUUCUUCCUGUAAUUCGAUGACUGAUGAAGGUUACUUAAAAGGUCACUUAAGAUGGGAAGCAAAGCACUACCUGGUUGUCACUUGUCAGUGGGCAAAUUCUGUGUGAAAUGGAACUUCCACCAGGUGAAGGACGGGUCUCAUGAAGGCUACAUAAAUUAAGUGGGACUAGAGCUGCUACCGCUAUACCUAAAGACGACUCGAUUGUUGAUAGUCGUUUCAUGCACGAGAAAUUUGCAGUUAGUGAUCCAUCGGAAGCUCCUUUGAAUGUUGCCACUCCACUCCACUCCACUCCACUGAAAGUCAGCUCUUUUAGUAUAUCGAGUAGCACGCUUUCUUAUGCUUAGUCAGUGGUUUUUGUUUAUUUCUUAAUCUUCUUAGUAGUUAAUUCUUUUAAACGAUAUCAUCGAAAAGUUGACUGUACUUAACUUGUUAGAAACAAGAUAUUCGAAA